rnacentral:rRNA from 1 species
UAAGUAUAAAGACCAAGUAGGAUGAAACUGCGGACGGCUCAUUAUAACAGUAAUAGUUUCUUUGGUUAGUAAAAUACAAGGAUAGCUUUGUGAAUGAUAAAGAUAAUACUUGAGACGAUCCAGUUUGUAUUAGUACAAAAUGGCCAAUUCAUUCAAUGAAUUGAGAAAUGACAUUCUAAGUGAGUUAGGAUGCCACGACAAUUGUAGAACACACAGUGUUUAACAAGUAACCAAUGAGAAUUUCUGAUCUAUCAAUCAGUUGGUAGUAUCGAGGACUACCAAGAUUAUAACGGAUAACGAGGAAUUGGGGUUCGACAUCGGAGAGGGAGCUUUACAGAUGGCUACCACUUCUAAGGAAGGCAGCAGGCGCGUAAAUUACCCACUUUCGAAUUGAAGAGGUAGUGACGACACAUAACUCUAGAGUUGAGUAAAAUCAAUUCUUGAAGGAAUGAGUAGGAGGUAAAUUCUCCUACGAAAUCAAU